GCUGGAGCAGCAUCUAAUAACCAACUCGCAAAAUAAAACAAAAUAAAAACAAAACAACAAACACGAAAUCGGACUUUAUGAUACAGACUUAUAAUUUGCACCGAUGUUUUUUCGAAAUUCUAUACACGAAAACUCAGCGUGAGAGCCCUCGGUGCGCCUGCGCGCUGCUGAAGUCAAAGUAAACUUUGUCAUCUCCGCUACAUACAGUCCGUAUAUAGAGAGACGAGACGACGAGGCUCCAGUUACAGCAGUGCAAAUAAACGAACAAUAAAUAUAGUAGAGUAAGAAAAUAAAUAUACACUUUAGGACUCGGGGUAAAGGGAUCAAUAACAAUUUAAAAUUUAUAAUUUACAGUUUGAUGAUUUAAAGUCUCACACAUAACCCGUCGAAAGGGGAGGGAGACCUGCUGCUUCCAAAUAGAGCACAUUUCAUUCAUAAUGUUGUAAAUCCAAGCCCAUUAUGUAUUCAUGAUUUGAAUCCUGGGUUGUGUGAAAUCCCAGAAAUACACCCUAGACAAAGUUAAUCUGUGAACUAAGGUGUAGGUCUGUUAGGUUAUGUUGUGGUGAUCCUCUGGUUGAGGGAUGGGUGUUCAGACUGGAGUGCAAAAUGAAAACCAAUGGAAGAUGGACAAGAAAAGUUCAAAGUCAUCAGGUCCUCAGUUUAGAAAAAAUAGAAAAGAAGAGGAGGAGAAACGAACAAAUGAUACAGAAAUAGACGAUAUAAUUAGAAGAAGUGUCCUGAAUGACGAAAAAAAAAGAACUGGAAAAGAUACACAACUUUGUGUGCAUGUGUCACAAUGCCAGGAGGACCCAUUCAGUGUUGUGUUAGAAAAAUUGAACUCAUUAACCCUUCAUGGACAUUAUAAAUGUUUAAAUGUGGCCUCAGGUAAAGACAGGAAAAGAGACUAUUACAAAUUCAACUGCAUCAGAGCUGGAAAAAAAAGUCGAAACAGCUACAGAGCAGUGGGCUGUAAGGCCUAUGUUUCAUUUAAAGUACUCAAAUGUUGGAAAGACCACACAGUCAUCGUGCAGCUUACAUAUGAUAAGCAUGAUGGGCAUGAUCCUUCGGACCCAAAAGACGCACAUUUCAACAAUAUUUCCAGUGAUUUGAGGAGGAAGAUUGAGGAACUGCUUUCCCUUGGAACUAAGCCAGCCAUCAUACUAACCGAAUGUCAUAAAUGGGCCAAAGAACAUGGACACAGAGAUCUUCACAACAGAGAGCAUUUUGUCACACCACAUGACAUUGACAGUGUUAGAACCUGCAUGAUGAGGAAGAAGCACUUUAACUGUAGAGACAGUCAAAGUGUACAUACCUUACUUAAUGGAAAACAUCAAGAACAUGUUCUCUUCUAUCAACCAUACACAUCUGAUCAAGAACUAAUGAUUGUUUUGCAGACACCUGUAAUGAAAUCAAACAUGGAGAACUAUGCAAAACAGUUAGUAUUUGUUGACACCACGCAUUGUGUUAACCAGUAUUCAUUUCCCUUAUUCACACUUGUUGUAAGAGAUGAUCAUGGGCGUGGAGUCCCUGUGGCCUAUGCUAUUGUCAGCAACGAAAGUCAGAAAACCCUGGAAAUCGUUCUUGGAAUAGUUUGUGAGCAUUUACCAACUUCCCCGAGAGCAUUUAUGGUUGACAAAGACUUUGCGGAAAUAAAUGCUUUGCAGAAGGUUUUUCCAGAGUCAGCUAUCCUUCUAUGCUGGUGCCAUGUCUUGCAGGCUGCUAAUCGAUGGCUUUCAAAAUCUGAGUCUGGGGUCCAUGGGCUUUCUAACACCCAAAAGAGAAAUGAAAUCAUUUCUUUCUUUUGUAAGCUGAAAGCUUGCACAUCUUGUGGUAUGUUGGAGCAGCGGUUUAUCGGCAGCUGAGAGGAAGAGGUUGGAUAAACUCAUCAGGAAGGCCAGCUCUGUUCUGGGAUGCACCCUGGACCCAGUGCAGGUGGUGGGAGACAGAAGGACUCUGGCCAAAAUAACAUCUCUGAUGGACAGAGUCUCCCACCCCAUGCAUGUAAAUGUUGCUGAACUGCAGAGCUCCUUCAGUGACAGACUGCUGCAUCCUAGAUGCAUGAAGGAGCGUUUCCGCAGGUCCUUCCUCCCUGCAGCUGUCAGACUGUACAAUCAGAACUGCUCCCAACAAUCAUAGAUGUUUACAUCAGCACUGUAACUGCAAUAAGUUAAUCAACCGAUUCGCACUACAACCUGGUUUGCCUCUUAUCUGUAGUUAUUUUUAUUUAAUUUAAUAACUGUACAGUACUCUCUGUAUAUAGUAACCAUUGUCCUUAAUGUAAAUAUGUAAGAAAAAUUGUGUAUGUUUCUGUGCUGUGUCCUGUUUGUUUGUAUAUGUGUCUUUUUGGCUGCUGUUACAACCAAAUUUCCCCUUGUGGGACAAUUAAAGGAUUAUUCUAUUCUAUUGUGUCAC
ensembl:lncRNA